GAUGAACGCUGGCGGCGUGCUUAACACAUGCAAGUCGAACGAUGAAGCUCAGCUUGCUGGGUGGAUUAGUGGCGAACGGGUGAGUAACACGUGAGUAACCUGCCCUUAACUCUGGGAUAAGCCUGGGAAACUAGGUCUAAUACCGGAUAGGAGCGCCUACCGCAUGGUGGGUGUUGGAAAGAUUUAUCGGUUUUGGAUGGACUCGCGGCCUAUCAGCUUGUUGGUGAGGUAAUGGCUCACCAAGGCGUCGACGGGUAGCCGGCCUGAGAGGGUGACCGGCGACACUGGGACUGAGACACGGCACAGACUCCUACGGGAGGCAGCAGUGGGGAAUAUUGCACAAUGGGCGAAAGCCUGAUGCAGCGACGCCGCGUGAGGGAUGACGGCCUUCGGGUUGUAAACCUCUUUCAGUAGGGAAGAAGCGAAAGUGACGGUACCUGCAGAAGAAGCACCGGCUAACUACGUG
rnacentral:rRNA from 1 species